rnacentral:rRNA from 1 species
UCCUGCUCAAUGAUAUUAAAUAGCCGCAGUACCCUGACUGUGCAAAGGUAGCAUAAUCAGUUGGCUCAUAAUUGGAGUCUGGAAUGAAUGGAUUUUUGGAAAAUAACUUUAUUUUACUUAUUUAUUUGAAAUUAGUUUAUAAGUGAAAAUACUUAUAUUUAUAUAAAGGACGAGAAGACCCUAGAAAUUUCUUUUCUUUUGUUGGGGCGACAGAAUUACAUGAAACUAAUUUAAUAUUACAUGACGUUAAUUACAGUUUGAUUAAAUUACUCUAGGGAUAACAGCAUAAUUUUAAUAGUUUGUGACCUCGAUGUUGGACUAGGAUAUUAAUGGUUUAGAAGACUUUUAAGAUUGCUCUGUUCGAGCAACUUUUCCUACGUGAUCUGAUUCAGACCGGA